AGACGAGGGAUCCUAGCGUUGCUCGGAAUCAUUGGGCGUAAAGCGGGUGUAGGUGGCUUUAUAAGUCAGGUGUGAAAGCCCAGGGCUCAACCCUGGAAGUGCAUUUGAUACUGAUCAUCUUGAGUUUGUGAGAGGUGAGUGGAAUACCGAGUGUAGAGGUGAAAUUCGUAGAUAUUCGGUGGAACACCAGUGGCGAAGGCGACUCACUGGCACAAUACUGACGCUGGGGUGCGAAAGCGUGGGGAUC
rnacentral:rRNA from 1 species